rnacentral:lncRNA from 1 species
AAGAUGUUACAGCAACUUUCUCCAAAACGUUUCAACACAUAUAUUCUUCCCUAAGUAUCCUAGAUAAUGUAUCAAGAAAAAUAUCCUCAAAAGGAGGUCGGGAUUUGUCGAAAUGGGGUGAUGAACAGGGUAGGUUCGUCAACCCUGGCUCAACUUUUUGCAGAAAAAUUUCUGCACUUUUUCCUUUUCUUUCUCUCUCGAUUUUUCUCUCCCUUUUGGCUGUUUUUCCUCUCUGAUCCUCCCCAGAUUCUCCCCAGAUUCUCUCCU